rnacentral:lncRNA from 1 species
AACAAACCUAGUAAUAAUUUCCAACAUGAAUUUAUUUAUUUAUUUUUUCCCCAGGUAACAACUAAACACAUUUUGAUACUCUUCACUUAUCUCUGUCUGUCAACAAUCACUAAUGGGAAACCUACAGAUUAAGUAUUUGGUGGCUGGGACAGACGCCCACAGCGUGAAAAUACAGGGGGCUUGUCUGCGAGGACUGCGGGUUCCCGCACAGGCGUGUCACCUGACUGUCUAAGGGAAGUAUUGAUGGGCGAGGGAGCGGCUGACCUGUGAUCCCCUGGCUCUUCGCCCAGUGCCUCAGGCCCCAUGUGACUUGCUGGGGUUCUGUCUUUUGUCAUGCAACCCCUUUGACCAUCAGGGUUCUGAGUAGGUGCUGGCUCAGCAAUCCGAAGGUCAACCCUGUUACGACGGUACAGUGAUCCAUUCACUUCGACCAAGUAGGAGCGUGAUGCCACUUUCUGUACACAGGAUCCGAGUCUCCAGAGGCCCGUCCGGUCCCCUGAUAGUGGUUUCAUCCGCACCGUUUCACCCACCCUGAGCUCAGACACCCGAGGACAGCCACAGAGUUCCCUGGCGCGGAGAAAGUAACAUCUUCAACUGGCGACGACAGAGGGACACCACCGGAGGAGUCAUUCCAAGCAACUCUGCUCAAACAAAUGGAUUGGAGAGGUGGUGUGAAUACAUCUCUCUCUACAGCUCAGAGCAACUUGUCUCUGUGUUUCACCUGCAACGGUGAGAGAUGUCAAGAUGUGAAAAAGAUUUUCAACUCAAUGAGAGAUGACAAAAUUUGGACGCAAAGUACUGCAACGUCUGCCCUUCUUGGCUGUUCCCUGACCUCGUCUCCCUUUGCUGGGAAGUGUGUGCCAUGUGUUGAGGACCGCAAGGUCUACAUUGUUUGCCUUGACAUGCCCAAGGAUCUCAAACUGGACCUGGAGGAUGGUGAUGGCAACUCAUUUUCCUACACUGAAGCUAGUGGAGUCAGAGGUCUUGCUGGGCAUGGUGGAGCAAUGAUCAGCAUUGGCAUGUUAGCAGCUGCCGUCAUCUUUGUCGCUUACUACAGAAGCCAGACCAAAUCAAGUAUUGUCUAGUGUCAACUUCAGAAGUCCACUCAGAGGAACACCAGACCCAUUUAAAGUUAUUAAAGACUGUCACGUCUACUGCUCCCCCUCUCCGGCGCACAGAGGGAGGGGGGCAGAACAUGAGACAGAGCUGCAUUUCAUGACAAAAUGUGAAAAAUAUAAAACAAUUAGAGAGUGUAAUUUCCCCAAAUUUGAAACCCUUAUUCAAGGUUUCAAAGACCUCUCUGGUGAGAGGCUACCCUUCCUGUUGGGGGAAAGACGCAGAGAGCUGGGGGUUGGCAGCGCACUACAUUGCUGCCUGCCAUAAGAUGAGGGACAGUGUCUGACAGACCAAUCAACCUGCACAUGUCCUCUACUGUAUGCUUAUUGUUUAAUGUAUGGUUAUUUUGACCCUUGGUUAUUGUUGUUACUGUUGUCCCGUUGACAAUUUUGAUUUAUUAUUUUCAUGUUGUAAAUAUCCAAAAUAAGCUUUGGCAAUAUGUACAUUGUUACGUUAUGCCAAUAAAGUGAAUUGAAUUGAAUUGAGAGACACACACACACACACAGACACAGAGAGAGAGAAACAGAGAGAAACAGAGAGGGG